rnacentral:rRNA from 2 species
AGAGUUUGAUCCUGGCUCAGGAUGAACGCUGGCGGCGUGCUUAACACAUGCAAGUCGAACGAACCUUCGGGUUAGUGGCGGACGGGUGAGUAACGCGUGGGAAUCUGCCCUCAGGAGGGGGAUAACGGUUGGAAACGACCGCUAAUACCCCAUAUGCCGAGAGGUGAAAUGAAUUUCGCCUGAGGAUGAGCCCGCGUCUGAUUAGCUUGUUGGUGAGGUAAUGGCUCACCAAGGCUUCGAUCAGUAGCUGGUCUGAGAGGAUGAUCAGCCACACUGGGACUGAGACACGGCCCAGACUCCUACGGGAGGCAGCAGUGGGGAAUUUUCCGCAAUGGGCGAAAGCCUGACGGAGCAACGCCGCGUGAGGGACGAAGGCCUCUGGGCUGUAAACCUCUUUUCUCAAGGAAGAAGAUAUGACGGUACUUGAGGAAUAAGCCACGGCUAAUUCCGUGCCAGCAGCCGCGGUAAUACGGGAGUGGCAAGCGUUAUCCGGAAUUAUUGGGCGUAAAGCGUCCGCAGGCGGCCUUUCAAGUCUGCUGUUAAAGCGUGGAGCUUAACUCCAUCAUGGCAGUGGAAACUGAUUGGCUUGAGUAUGGUAGGGGCAGAGGGAAUUCCCGGUGUAGCGGUGAAAUGCGUAGAUAUCGGGAAGAACACCAGUGGCGAAGGCGCUCUGCUGGGCCAUAACUGACGCUCAUGGACGAAAGCCAGGGGAGCGAAAGGGAUUAGAUACCCCUGUAGUCCUGGCCGUAAACGAUGAACACUAGGUGUCGGGGGAAUCGACCCCUUCGGUGUCGUAGCUAACGCGUUAAGUGUUCCGCCUGGGGAGUACGCACGCAAGUGUGAAACUCAAAGGAAUUGACGGGGGCCCGCACAAGCGGUGGAGUAUGUGGUUUAAUUCGAUGCAACGCGAAGAACCUUACCAGGGUUUGACAUCCUGCGAACCUUUAAGAAAUUAGAGGGUGCCUUCGGGAACGCAGUGACAGGUGGUGCAUGGCUGUCGUCAGCUCGUGUCGUGAGAUGUUGGGUUAAGUCCCGCAACGAGCGCAACCCACGUUUUUAGUUGCCAGCAUUUAGUUGGGCACUCUAGAAAGACCGCCGGUGAUAAACCGGAGGAAGGUGUGGAUGACGUCAAGUCAUCAUGCCCCUUACAUCCUGGGCUACACACGUACUACAAUGCUACGGACAAAGGGCAGCAAACUCGCGAGAGCUAGCAAAUCCCAUAAACCGUGGCUCAGUUCAGAUCGUAGGCUGCAACUCGCCUACGUGAAGUAGGAAUCGCUAGUAAUCGCAGGUCAGCAUACUGCGGUGAAUACGUUCCCGGGCCUUGUACACACCGCCCGUCACACCAUGGAAGUUGGCCACGCCCGAAGUCGUUACUUUAACCCUUGUGGAGAAGGACGCCGAAGGUGGGGCUGAUGACUGGGGUGAAGUCGUAACAAGGUAGCCGUACCGGAAGGUGCGGCUG